UCUUAUGGAUGAGCAAAGAAAGUGGUUUCUUGAGAUAGAAAUCUACUCCUGGUGAAGAUGCUGUGAA
rnacentral:pre_miRNA from 1 species